rnacentral:rRNA from 1 species
CGCGUAGGCGGUCUCUAAAGUCAGAUGUGAAAGCCCGGGGCUUAACCCCGGAAGUGCAUUUGAAACUUAGGGACUUGAGUAUGGGAGAGGGAAGUGGAAUUCCUGGUGUAGCGGUGAAAUGCGUAGAUAUCAGGAGGAACACCAGUGGCGAAGGCGACUUCCUGGACCAAUACUGACGCUGAGGCGCGAAGGCGUGGGGAGCGAACA